AAAAAAAGGGGAGAUCAUCUUCUUCUUCAAGGAACUCACGCCCCUCCCCGUCUCUCAAAGUUUCUCACGCCCAAGAUCUCUUUUCCUCUCUUCCUCACUGACAACAACCAGAAAGACUCGCCUUCGCUAUCCUUACAGAUCUGAAGCUGGCAGCUUCGCGUCGUCGUCGUCCAGCUUGCGACGCACCAACCAUUUUGCAUCCAACCAGCCGCGAGCCGCUCCUCCGACGAUGAACGAUGACAGCACGCCACACCUAACGUCUGUGAAUAGUUAAGUCGUGAAACUAUGUCUCCUUCACCAUUGAUUUGAAAUCUUGGGAGAUUUUUAGUUGCUGCCCAACACUUAGGAAGCUUGAAAUUGGACAUUUUCAUACAACUUGGAUUUAGAGAACUUGGAAGCAUUGAUCAACAUGGUUAAGGUUGUUUUAAAUGAGUUUGGGUAGAGGACGAGGUAAGGGCAAAGACAAGCUGGCGAGCGACCAGAAGUGACCGUGGCGAGCCAUAGGGAUUUCUGCUUCCGCUUAUUCUUGUUUUUGACUUUAGUACCUGAGUUUGAGUAUUCUUCACUAUUUACCAUUUUUUUUAUAGGGCCCGAGUAGGACUUUGGAACGAAAUAUCAUUUUUUGCAUGUUACUUGUUUGGAUUUUCAUAAAUAAAUUUCUCAAACCUUAUGCGUUUUUACUAAAUUUUAUGACUUAAACCACUUGUCCUAUAUUUAGUAAUGACUUCGACUCAGUAUAAGGAGUUGGGUUGUUACAACAUCAAAGACCCGUUGAAUUUGAACUAAGUUGAUGCUCAUGGGGUUAAGUAUCUAAAUUUCAAUUCCAAGGGUUCAUAGAUGAAAGGCUUAGUCUAAUCUUAAGCGCUUUGAAUAUCGAGAACCUUAGAAACAUAAAAUGAAUUUAAGUGACCUCAUGAAGUGUAAGGUUAGUUGACUCGGCUGAUAUAGUGGAACUAAACCUAAAAAACAGCGAUAGUUGAAAUAAAAGCAUAUUGAAAUGAAAAACCCAAUGAGUUUGACUUAAGUUUGGACAUCCAUUUUACUAAGGAUCUAAAUUUGAGGUUUAAAGGUUUAGAAGUGGAUUUGUAGUCUAGUCUAAGGAGAUUCGAGAAUUUAAGGGCUCUAAAAAUGUAAAAUAGCUUGAAUGCUCACAAUGAAGUGUUUUUAAAGAUUAUUGUGCUGUCUUGCUAAGUGAAGAUAACUGAGAGACCUUAAUCUCUGUUUCAAGCCAACUUGAAAUGGAAAAAGUGUAUAAUCCCGGGAGAUUGAGUUACUGAUAGCGAAUGGUUUAUUUUCAAGUAUUUUUGUUAUAAAUUUAUGUAUGUUAUUAUAGUACGCUAUGAUAUUGACGAUUACUUGUAUGAUUGUUUUAUGAACUAUGUGUUAGAAAUAUUUUCAAAUAUGAAUUUCGAUUUUUCAUGAACUCUUGUAUUUCGAAACUAUGGUUAAACCCAACCUUAUUGAGCAAGUUUUAGAUGACAACUGGUUUUUAAAAUAUUCAUUGAUUUAUAACUAGAUUUGAAAGAGUUCUAAAAGGAUGUAUUGAUUGCUAAGGAUCGAAAAUGAUUUGAAAUGUCUUUCUAACCAUGUUUGGUUUUAAACUUUAAACAUGUUGAUGUUUACAAAAUAGUGUUGGUCAUUUCCCUAAAGGCUACGUGAAUGUGUUU